rnacentral:lncRNA from 1 species
UGCCCUAGAUAAUUCUGGUAACUGCUACCAACCAUCUUCUCAUCACGCUCAAGCUUGAUCAUUCUACAAUUACUGAACUGAUAUUCAUAUCUCAUUGAUCUUAACUUAUCUUAAUAGCAUGUGUUGGCUGUCUUUCCCUAUUCAUCCUACAAUAUAGUCUUCUAUUUUUAAAAAUCUAAGAUUGGUAUAGUCAUCUUGGUCUUCUAUUAGACAAUGAGUCAAGACUUAAAUCAUCCAAUGUAGUCUUCCACUUCAUGGCCGAACCUGAUCUAUUAAGCCUAG